UCCUACGGGAGGCAGCAGCGAGGAAUUUUGCACAAUCGACGAAAGUCGGAUGCAGCAACGCCGCGUGGGGGAAGAAGGCCUUCGGGUUGUAAACCCCUUUUGUGAGGGAAGAAGUUCUGACGGUACCUCACGAAUAAGUCACGGCUAACUACGUGCCAGCAGCCGCGGUAAUACGUAGGUGGCGAACGUUGUCCGGAUUUACUGGGCGUAAAGCGCGCGCAGGCGGACCGAUAAGUCAGAGGUGAAAUCUCCCGGCUCAACUGGGAGGGGCCCUUUGAUACUGUCGGUCUUGAGAUGCCUAGAGGAGAGUGGAAUUCCCGGUGUAGUGGUGGAAUGCGUAGAUAUCGGGAGGAACACCAGUGGCGAAAGCGGCUCUCUGGGGGCGAUCUGACGCUGAGGCGCGAAAGCGUGGGGAGCAAACCGGAUUAGAUACCCGGGUAGUCCACGCCGUAAACGAUGAGUACUAGCUGUAUGGGGUAUCGACUCCCUGUGUAGCGAAGCUAACGCGAUAAGUACUCCGCCUGGGGACUACGGCCGCAAGGCUAAAACUCAAAGGAAUUGACGGA
rnacentral:rRNA from 1 species